rnacentral:lncRNA from 1 species
UAAAAAGAAAUUCUUACAUGCCUCAUCCAGAGAAAUGUCUCAAGAUAAUUAGCCUACCCAUUAACAUUUCCACAAAUGUGCCAGAUCCACUUGAGAAUUCUGCCCUUAGAGAGCUUACCUUCUAACUGAGAAGAUAAAAAGAAAAUAGAUAAUGGCUCAGAGGAAUUCACAGCGGAAACGAAUCCGACUAGGAACCAUGAGGUUGCGGGUUCGAUCCCUGGCCUUGCUCAGUGGGCUAAGGAUCUGGCGUUGCCCUGAGCUGUGGUGUAGGUUGCAGAUGCAGCUUGGAUCUGGCAUUGCUAUGGCUCUGGCAUAGGCUGGCAGCAACAGCUCCAAUUAGACCCCUUGCCUGGGAUCCUCCAUAUGUCACGGGUGCGGCUCUAAAAAAGACAAAAAAAAAAAAAAAAAAAAAGAAAUGGCUCAGGGUAUAAUGUAAAUGUUAUGAGAAGAUUAUGAUGGAAACAAGGAUGGAGAGAGUGGCUGGGGAGCCAGAGUAGCCAUGCAGGACUGGAAAGACUGCAGAAGAGGGAGGUCUGUACUCGGGCUAAAGAGCAAAGAGGGAAAACAAGUCUCUGGGCAGGAGAUUCAGAAGAUGGAAGACCCUGAAGAGAGCACCUGAUCCUUCCAAAAAAUGAGAGGUGCUUCCAUGAAUACAGGAAGCAGGUAUAGAUUCUAUUUAGGUUGUUUCCAGAGGCCUUAGGAAGCCAGGCAUUUGUUUAAACCAUUCUGAUGUUAGAGAUUGAUUGGAUUUUUUUUUCCAGGUGUUCCCCCCCACCUUUUUUUUUUUUUUUUUUUUUGGCCUUGCUGGUGACAUAUGGAAGUUCCCUGUGCCAGGAAUCAAACCCUUGCCCACAGCAGCAACCGAGCCACUGCAGUGACAACACCAGAUACUUAACCCACUGUACCAUGAGGGAACUCCUAGAUACUGAUUUUAAAGCUUCAGUCUCUGAUCCUGACAAAAGAUAAUUUUGCCUGAGACAAGGGUGAUGGCAGUGGAGAAGGAAACACGUGGGUGAAGUUGAGAUGGGUUCCAGAGAUAGAAUUGACAGAAACUGAUGGAAAACAUGUGAAAGGGCUGAAUCAAGACCAACAGAUAGAUUUCUAUUCGUGGGUACAUUUGAACUAUAGGUAGAUUGUGGUGCCCAGAUCAUGUCUUGGACCAUUCAGUUACCAAUCUGACCUCCAGAAGUUUGUCCAAAAGAUGCUGGGUAUUUGUUUACUCCAUAGAGAAAAACCAACGAAUAUGGCUGUUACCCAAUUAUGCCUACACGAGAGAACGCACACAGAAGAAAACGGAGGUUUCCUACCUUGGCUUUUUUUGUUAAUACCAGAGAUGAAAAAAAAUCUGCUUGUCUUAUUUUAUCAGCUGCUGUUUGCUACAAAGCAUGCUUCUUUCCAAUUAUAGACAUGUCUGCCAUACUAAUAUAUCUUCUGGAGAACAAUGGAAAAUUUCUUAUGACAUUCCUUACCUUGUUGAUGUCUCCCUGGGGACUCCUGCUCGCGCUUGUGGCAGUGCUAAGGGGGACCCGCACUGCAGAGGGAAAGCUCACAGCUGCCUUCUUCGCCAAGGGCUCCGCUCGCCAGGGCGCCUCAGGUGCACUUCCUGUUGCCUCUUCCGACACAGGAAUAAUCUGUUCUUGUUUUCCUAACCACAGCGUUCUAAAGACAAAGGGGAGAUGCUUUAUCGAGUCUCUUGCCCCCUUGUGUUUCCUCUAGAAACAUUUCUUAAUUCACUUUACCCUCCCAACGGAGAUCACUCAGUGGACAUGAAAGCAGCAUUACAUUGUGAUUCAGAGCCCAGGUCCUGAAAUCAGUGUCCUGAGUUCAAAUCCUGAUUCUCCUUUGCUCUAGACAAUAGAGGGAUCUCAGGCAAGUGAUGGGGUAUCUCCGAACUUCAGUGGGUCUACUGGCAGAGCCUGCCUUAGAAAUUUCCUAAGAAUUGAAGGAGAUCGUUCACAUCAAGUGCCUCACAUGUUACUGAUCACACAGAAAAUGCUCUUUUUUUAGGGGUGUCAAGUCAGGAUUCUCACAUGUACAGGGAACUGCCACAUCUGAAUGUGGGAACCAAGGCUGGCUCUCCAUUCCAGCUAAAAAGAAAGUGCUCUAGGAUGUCAUAGGAGAUCAAAAUUAACUUCCUCUUGAGAAUAUUUCUAAGUUGGUGACACUCUGCAGUGAUUAGGGACAAGCCAAGUUAUCACAAAAUCAGGGAACAAAGUGGCACCCCAGGGACACAGAUAAUCAGCAGACUCUUUAAGGACAUGAUCUCUAGAAAGCCAUUUAAUGUCAAGCUGGCAUUUUGUGAUGGCAUAUUUCAAAGACAUGUAAUUUUCUGUCAUGGAGGCUUGUGACUCGUUCAAUAGCCUCCACUCUGAUAUGAUCCAGCUUUUUCUCUUCAAAUCGACAUCUACUUGAUGGUCCUGCUGUUCAUCUUGCCUCAAUAGCCCUCCUUUCCCACCAUAGUUAGAUCCUGUACUUUCCAGCUGCUGGUUACAAAGAAGUGUUAAAAAUCUCAAACCCAAUUCCCAAGGGGAGUAAAGAGACAGAGGUGAUUGUGGUGACACAAAAAAGCACUCAGGAAAGUGAUUGCACUUGCUCUGGGUUGAAGGAAACCCUCGAGUGACCUGCAUUUUCUCUUCCUUAAGAAAUGAGCGAAAUGCCUUUCCUUUUGCUCAGUGGGAAGGUAUGCACCACCUGCCUGUCACUUUUUUUUUUUUUUCUAUUUCAGUAUCUGUAAAGAAAAAAAGUUCAAUUGACACAUAUAAAAAAGCAGCAAUUAAAAUAAGUACAUAUCUCAGUGUACACCGAAAUGCUCUUGACAAGUAGACUUGAUGGACACUUGCCAAUGAAUCCACUGACAUGGGGGAUUAGUACCUUCUCUCUGUUUCUGCAACAGGCAGUUCCAUCUGAGCAAAAUUACCAUUAUUGUUCCAAUAAUCAUUCCAAGUCAUUAAAAAUACAUCCAUAAGUAACGGGGAAGUAUUUUCUGGCCAGAGUCUUUCAUUAGGUUUAGCAAUUGCUCCUCUAUCUAUAGUUAAUGCUGUAAUCCUUCUCUAAAGGCAUUUUGCCUCCUACCAAUGAUUGGUGCUAUAUUUAGUUUUUUGUAUAUAUAACAUAUGUAUAUAUGAAUACACACACACACCCCUAUUAAAAACAGCAAAAUGGGAAUUUCCUGGUGUCUCAGAGAGUUAAAGAUUUGGCAUUGUCACUCUUGUGGCUCAGGUCACUGCUGUGGCAUGGGUUCAAUCCCUGGCCCCAGAACUUCUGCAUG